rnacentral:rRNA from 1 species
UACGGAGGGGGCUAGCGUUGUUCGGAAUUACUGGGCGUAAAGCGCGCGUAGGCGGACCUGCAAGUCGGGGGUGAAAGCCCGAGGCUCAACCUCGGAACUGCCUUCGAUACUGCGGGUCUCGAGUCCGGGAGAGGUGAGUGGAAUUCCUAGUGUAGAGGUGAAAUUCGUAGAUAUCGGAAGGAACACCAGUGGCGAAAGCGGCUUCCUGGUCCAGCACCGACGUUCAGGCACGAAAGCGUGGGGAGCAAACAGG